rnacentral:rRNA from 1 species
UACGUAGGGAGCAAGCGUUAAUCGGAAUUACUGGGCGUAAAGGGCGCGCAGGCGGCUGCUCAAGUCAGGCGUGAAAGGCCUGGGCUCAACCCGGGAAUUGCGCUUGAGACUGGGCUGGCUUGAGUGCGGGAGAGGAUGGUGGAAUUCCCAGUGUAGAGGUGAAAUUCGUAGAUAUUGGGAAGAACACCGGUGGCGAAGGCGGCCAUCUGGACCGCAACUGACGCUGAGGCGCGAAAGCGUAGGGAGCAAACAGG